rnacentral:lncRNA from 1 species
AUUUGAACUAUAAAGAGACUAAGAAUUAAAACUCUAAGACCCCGUUUGGAUACUCCUGAAAACGAAGCAUAGUUAAACUAUGCUACAGCGGUAGAAAAAAUAUAUUACGAAGCGUUUAGGAGGAAAAAAAGCUAACGUAAUUUUUGGAGUAUAGUUAAACUAUACUCCAAAAAAUGGAAUAAAAGUAUAAUCCACUCUAAUCAAAGAAAAAAAAAUUCUACCAUUCUUGAGCUCUCUUAUUCAAAAAAUUCAACAAGUUCUAACUUUUAAAUUUCAAUAUAAAAUAUUUAAUUUUAACGUAGAUUUUAAAUUUCAAUAUAGAUUUUAAAUUUCAAAUUUUAAAUUUUAAAUUUCAAAUCUCAUAGUUCAAAUUUCAAAUUUUAAACUUUAAAUUUUAAAUUAAAAUUUAAAAUUUAAAAUUCUAAAUUUCAAAUUUUAAAUUUUAAAUUUUAAAUUUUUUAUUUUAAAUAAAUUUUCAAAUAUAAAUUUCAAACUUUAAAUUUUAAAUUUUAACUUUUAAAAUUUAAAAUUUAAAUUUCAAAUUUGAAAUUUCAAAUCUCAAAUCUCAUA